GUGAGGAAUAUUGGUCAAUGGGCGGGAGCCUGAACCAGCCAAGUCGCGUGAAGGAAGAAGGAUCUAUGGUUCGUAAACUUCUUUUGCAGGGGAAUAAAGUGCAGGACGUGUCCUGUUUUGUAUGUACCCUGAGAAUAAGGAUCGGCUAACUCCGUGCCAGCAGCCGCGGUAAUACGGGGGAUCCGAGCGUUAUCCGGAUUUAUUGGGUUUAAAGGGUGCGUAGGUGGUUUGAUAAGUCAGCGGUGAAAGUUUGCAGCUUAACUGUAAAAAUGCCGUUGAAACUGUCGGACUUGAGUGUAAAUGAGGUAGGCGGAAUGCGUGGUGUAGCGGUGAAAUGCAUAGAUAUCACGCAGAACUCCGAUUGCGAAGGCAGCUUACUAAGCUACAACUGACACUGAAGCACGAAAGCGUGGGGAUCAAACAGGAUUAGAUACCCUGGUAGUCC
rnacentral:rRNA from 1 species